CCUACGGGUGGCAGCAGUGAGGAAUAUUGGUCAAUGGGCGGAAGCCUGAACCAGCCAAGUAGCGUGCAGGAUUACGGCCCUACGGGUUGUAAACUGCUUUUAUACGGGAAUAACGCGCCUUACGUGUAGGGCUUUGCAUGUACCGUAUGAAUAAGGACCGGCUAAUGCCGUGCCAGCAGCCGCGGUUAUAAGGGAGGUCCGGGCGUUAUCCGGAUUUAUUGGGGUUAAAGGGAGCGUAGGGCGGACGUCAAGGGUGCUGGUAAAUGUUCGGGCCCAACCCGGGCCCGGCCGGGGGAACUGGGGGGCGUGAGUCGGCGAGAAGCAGGCGGAAUGCGUGGUGUAGCGGUGAAAUGCUUAGAUAUGACGAAGAACCCCGAUUGCGAAGGCAGCUUGCUGGAGCGGAACUGACGCUGAUGCACGAAAGCGCGGGUAUCGAACAGGAUUAGAUACCCCUGUAGUC
rnacentral:rRNA from 1 species